AUUGAACGCUGGCGGCAGGCCUAACACAUGCAAGUCGAGCGGAUGAAGGGAGCUUGCUCCUGGAUUCAGCGGCGGACGGGUGAGUAAUGCCUAGGAAUCUGCCUGGUAGUGGGGGAUAACGUCCGGAAACGGGCGCUAAUACCGCAUACGUCCUGAGGGAGAAGGUGGGGGUUCUUCGGACCUCACGCUAUCAGAUGACCCUAGGUCGGAUUAGCUAGUUGGUGGGGUAAAGGCCUACCAAGGCGACGAUCCGUAACUGGUCUGAGAGGAUGAUCAGUCACACUGGAACUGAGACACGGUCCAGACUCCUACGGGAGGCAGCAGUGGGGAAUAUUGGACAAUGGGCGAAAGCCUGAUCCAGCCAUGCCGCGUGUGUGAAGAAGGUCUUCGGAUUGUAAAGCACUUUAAGUUGGGAGGAAGGGCAGUAAGUUAAUACCUUGCUGUUUUGACGUUACCAACAGAAUAAGCACCGGCUAACUUCGUG
rnacentral:rRNA from 1 species